UUAAAGGGACACUAUAGUCCCUAAAACAACUUUAGGUUAAUGAAGCAGUUUUGCUGUAUAGAGAUUGUCCCUGCAGUCUCACUGCCCAAUUCUCUGCUAUUAAGGAGUUAAUUAACUUUGUUUGUACAGCCCUAAUUACACUUCCCAGCAUGUAACAUGCACAGCCUUCCUAAACACUUCCUGUAAAGUGAGGUCUAAUAUUUACAUUUCAUUUAUUGAACAGUCUGUGCAAUUUAGCAUUUCUAAAUUGGAGUAUUUAGAACUUAAAUUUGAAAUUCACUUUGGAUUCUCAGUUUAGCAAAUAACCAUCAUGACAGUUGAAGAUGUACACAUAUACAUCAUUAAGGACAACUUGCUUUCAUCAUUCCCAGAUAGUCCACUAGUAUUGCAUAGAAACUGGACACAUAAUACAUAAUCUUUCCUUGUCCUGACUCCUACUCUUCAUCUGUUCCUGUCAGCUCUGCUGAUAUGACUGAUCUACCCCACAUAGACACAACUAUGUGCCCUAGAG